GUCCUCACUUCGGCAGCACAUAUACUAAAAUUGGAACGAUGCAGAGAAGAUUAGCUUGGCCCCUGCACAAGGAUGACAAUAUAUACAAAUAUAUAUCCAAUAUAUAC